ensembl:snRNA U6 U6 spliceosomal RNA
GGGCUCACUUCGGCAGCACAGACACUAAAACUGGAAUGAUACAGAGAUUAGCAUGGCCUCUGCACAAGCAUGACAUACAAAGCUGUGAAACGUUCCAUAUUUUA